rnacentral:rRNA from 1 species
CAGUAGCCGCGGGAAUACAGAGGGUGCGAGCGUUAAUCGGAUUUACUGGGCGUAAAGCGUGCGUAGGCGGCUUCUUAAGUCGGAUGUGAAAUCCCUGAGCUUAACUUAGGAAUUGCAUUCGAUACUGGAAAGCUAGAGUAUGGGAGAGGAUGGUAGAAUUCCAGGUGUAGCGGUGAAAUGCGUAGAGAUCUGGAGGAAUACCGAUGGCGAAGGCAGCCAUCUGGCCUAAUACUGACGCUGAGGUACGAAAGCAUGGGGAGCAAACAGGAUUAGAUACCCGCGUAGUCCCUGUCUCUUAUAA